rnacentral:rRNA from 1 species
GACGAACGCUGGCGGCGUGCUUAACACAUGCAAGUCGAACGGAAAGGCCCUGCUUUUGUGGGGUGCUCGAGUGGCGAACGGGUGAGUAACACGUGAGUAACCUGCCCUUGACUUUGGGAUAACUUCAGGAAACUGGGGCUAAUACCGGAUAGGAGCUCCUGCUGCAUGGGGGGGGUUGGAAAGUUUCGGCGGUUGGGGAUGGACUCGCGGCUUAUCAGCUUGUUGGUGGGGUAGGGGCUUACCAAGGCUUUGACGGGUAGCCGGCCUGGGAGGGUGACCGGCCACAUUGGGACUGCGGUACGGCGCAGACGCCAACGGGAGGCAGUAGUGGGGAACAUUGCACAAUGGGCGGAAGCCUGAUGCAGCAGCGCCGCGUGCGGGAUGACGGCCUUCGGGUUGUAAACCGCUUUCGCCUGUGACGAAGCGUGAGUGACGGUACUGGGUAAAGAAGCACCGGCUAACUACGUG